rnacentral:rRNA from 1 species
AGAGUUUGAUCAUGGCUCAGAACGAACGCUGGCGGCAGGCCUCAAACAUGCAAGUCUAGGGGGUGUAGCAAUACAUCACCGGCGGACGGGUGCGUAACGCGUGGGAAUGUACCUAUUGGUUCGGAACAACUGAGGGAAACUUCAGCUAAUACCGGAUGAGCCCGAAAGGGGAAAGAUUUCUCGCCAAUGGAUCAGCCCGCGUCCGAUUAGCUAGUUGGUGGGGUUAUGGCCUACCAAGGCAACGAUCGGUAGCUGUUCUGAGAGGAAGAUCAGCCACACUGGGACUGAGACACGGCCCAGACUCCUACGGGAGGCAGCAGUUGGGAAUCUUGGACAAUGGGGGAAACCCUGAUCCAGCCAUGCCGCGUGAGUGAUGAAGGCCUUCGGGUUGUAAAACUCUUUCGACGGGGACGAUAAUGACGGUACCCGUAGAAGAAGCUCCGGCUAACUUCGUGCCAGCAGCCGCGGUAAUACGAAGGGGGCUAGCGUUGUUCGGAAUUACUGGGCGUAAAGCGCGCGCAGGCGGUCUUCCAAGUCAGUGGUGAAAGCCCGGAGCUCAACUCCGGAACUGCCAUUGAAACUGUGAGACUUGAGUACGAGAGAGGUGAGUGGAAUUCCCAGUGUAGAGGUGAAAUUCGUAGAUAUUGGGAAGAACACCGGUGGCGAAGGCGGCUCACUGGCUCGUAACCGACGCUCAGGCGCGACAGCGUGGGGAUCAAACAGGAUUAGAUACCCUAGUAGUCC